rnacentral:rRNA from 1 species
UACGUAGGGGUGCAAGCGUUGUCCGGAAUUAUUGGGCGUAAAGAGCUCGUAGGCGGUUUGUCGCGGUCGGACUCGGUGAAAACCCUGGGGCUUAACUCCGGGCCUGCAGCCGAUGACGGGCAGACUAGAGUUCGGCAGGGGAGACUGGAAUUCCUGGUGUAGCGGUGAAAUGCGCAGAUAUCAGGAGGAACACCGGUGGCGGAAGGCGGGUCUCUGGGCCGAUACUGACGUGAGGAGCGAAAGGCGUGGGGAGCAACAGG